ACACAGGAUCUUGCAUCCCCUGCGAUAUCCGGCACUCUCAUCCGCGCACAGCGACGAAAGUAUAUCCACUUUCCGUUCACUAAAUAUAUAAAUAUUCAACAAUUAGUUAUUGUUUGCUAUGAGAUGGGUCCGCAAUACCAGUCAACGAAAACUACUCUGGGAAAGUGAAUUCCUUCUAAUCAUGGUUCAACCAAUUUCGUAAAGAAAUGAAGGUAUUCUGCUUUGCGUGACUAGGUUGAGCAAUACUAUUGUUACAAUUUUAUUUUAUUACCGUAUUGGUCUGAAUAUAAAUCGACCCCUAAUCUUACGAUUUAAUUUUAGGGUUUCCUUGUAAACCGAAGAUAACUCGAUUUUAUGAGAUAAUGACUUAUUAUGUCAAGCAUAUUUGAUGAUUGAUGUUGCAUUUUUGCAUAUACAUUGCAUCAGUAAAACUUGAGACUACGAUGUAAAUAUCGGAUUUUUCAUUCACCGAGACUUUGGACUGAUGCAAUUCGAAAAAAAUUGAAGUUUGAGUUUUUACAAUUCAUGAUUUCAUUAAUCAAAUUUCACAACAAUUGGUCAAUAACGAUUUUUCUUUCGUUGAAGCAAUUUUUCAAAAAUAAACUGUAUAUAAGUGGGCCCUGCGUACAAGUCGAGUACAGAUUCUGAGAAAGAAAUCUGCAACCAAAACCUCGAGUUUUAUUCAUGCCAAUACGGUACAUCAAUUUUCUACUUAAUUCUGUUAAAUUUCUCCGUAUCAUUGUCAUACCAAAACGAUUAUGUUUAACGUUCAACUAACGCUGAAUUAUCAAUAGCAUUGAGUAACCAUGAUCUAUUAUUAACGACUUACGGCUAGAAAAACUAGUUCUUAGUAGGAUAUGGUUACUAAACGUUAUUAAGCAUCGCACCUAACAAAUUAAUCAGAAGCUAAGAGAUUACUCAUGAGUAACUCAUUAUCAGGAUUUCUUGCAAUUCUUAAAAUUUGGCACAGUUCACUGAUAGUAUAAAUUAGGGUGUAAUACCUCGUUUCACUAGCUGCAUUCAGCUCUCAUUAAAGUUCUAAUGAGCAUGAGCCUAAAGCUAGCAGCCAGAGUUAGCAGCUAAACGUGUUCAACUUUUGCAAAUAGAAAAAUGCAAUUUUAUCCUCAUUCUAUGUAAAAGUAUAGAGGAUUCAAGGUAUUUCACAAACUUUUGAUUUUCGGACUUCACUAAAUUAUUCGAAUGAGCAUUAGAAAGUUCAUGUACUAAUUCUGGCUGGUAGCUUCAGCCUCGUCCAAUGAGUUGUUGAAGUUAGCUGUGACCUGCAAUUGAUAAAAUUUCCGCUUAAUAUAUGUAUUGUCACCUUUUUGUCGGCUUUUUUCGCACAUCGUAGGUGUCACACCCGGUAAAUGCUCCAGAGGUUGUUCCCGAUUGCAGUCGGUAAUCGGAACGGUUGUAUUAUCAAACGGAUCGGCACAUUUAGGAUCAUAAUCCGACCUGCAUACCCAGCAUUUUAUACCGAGUCCUAAAAUUUGAUAACAAUAGAUGAGAACGUGAUAAGUGGAAGCAUAAAGUUAAGCCUUUCAGCAUAAGACGAUACAUUUUUCCAACGCUCUACUGACGAUUGGAUUGAAGAGCGAAAAACCAUGUUUGUGUUCCACUAUAGAACGCACCCACUUUUAUCAAACGAACGUAUCUACAUUUAUUCACACGAUGCGUUUAAUUCGGCGCGCCCAAUGAUUCGUUGUCAUGUAUUUUUACCUUCGUGGAUGCAAGUGGCCAGGACGAUGAUAAGUAACGGAAGUAACUUCCAGUUCGAACCCAUUUUUACCUUCGGCACAACUGAAUUAUGUAUGGCACAAGUCGAAAGUAAUUUACUCCGGUCGUUUACUCGCCGUAAGACACGAAUCUGGUCAGGUCAUCUGACUUUCUACGCCGCACUGUUCGGUUGGUCUAAACUUGCAGCCUGCGCGUCGUGUUGGCAAUGAGUGUAAAGGUCGCAAGACAUUAUGUCGGACGCUCGUUAGCCACCGCUGUUUGGUUGGCUGAAGAUGUAAAAACACUGCUAGUCUAAUGGGCUUUCCGUAACCGAAAUUUAACGAUAUAAAUUCAUCGUCAAUCGGUGUCCUAUGCGUGGCGCAGCUUAAGUCGGUAAACGGUCUGUACGUGAAGCCGACAAGAAUUAAUGUUACCAUCACUCAACGAAUCUACCCAGAUGGAUGAUAGUGUUGAAAUGACCGCUGAUUGACAUUUUUGUGUAUCGCCUGUAUACCUGUAUAACUGUGCAAAUUCAUUUCAGUCAAAUUCAGCAAUGUUUAUCUACCUACAUCUCAGUCAGAUCGACAAUUAGCUAUUUUCGUAUCAAGGGUGUAAAUCGUUACGCCCGUGAUGCAAACAAUAUUUUUCGGCCUACUAUGGCGAAACAGUACAUUGCGUAUAAAAGGCGGAAAGGAGGCGAUUUUGCCCGGUGUGAAGUUGGCCACACGAACGAAGCGAGGGCGGCCUUCACACGAGUCAAAUCGCAUUCCGUCCGUGGUGCGAAACACUUUUUGUCCGAUUCUUUUGAAACGCGGCAUUUCAUGCAUGUAAAGCAGGCGGGAAGUAGCGAGUUUCAGGGCAAUUCCGAAGCGUGCGGACAAGGAUUUUCCACCCUCUAGAGCCGGACCAUUAUAAAUACGUGCGAAGAAAUUCUCGGGUUAUCUUCUUGCCGUUUUCGGUACUCUUUUCACUGCAGGUGGUUACAAACCACAUAUCCCUUUUUGAACAGUCUCUUCAACUGUUUCAAGUUCACCUUUCGGACACGUAACAAUAUAAUAAAUUCUCACUUCUUGAAAUUAAAUAAAUGAGCAACAGUGCAAAAUGUAGCUAUACUCGCUUCAACUUCCUUUGAUGCAGAAUGGCAGAUUAUAACUAUGUGUUUCGGCAAAGUAGCGAUGUAAGAGUUCAAGCGAAUGUCAAUCGCGAUUUCGAGUCAAUCUAACACAAUGUCAUGUAUGUGGUACGUAAAGCUGACAGGAUAAAAAUUGAAUUUACGGAUAAUAUUGCGUUGUAAAUAGGAUUUAAUGAUUUAAAAGCCAACGGAUUAUUCACCUUGAAAAUCAGUUAUCGAAAAACAACCGUCGAGAACCUCAUGAUAGAUUUAUUUUUAUUAUUCAUUUUUAUAUUUGUUCAAGCCCCUUCAUAAUUUUCCUCAAUUGAAACCCAAUUACCGCUUCCAAAUUUUUGGAAAAACUCAGAAAAUAGGUUCGGCCAUCUACAUAUCUUCAACGUGCUUCUAGCAAAGAGAAAAGUGUUUCAGAAUUUUUCGGAUAUUCUCAAGACUGGAACCAUUGAAGUUUUCCAACAUUUUUCAAAAAUAUUUGUAACUCUUCGUUGACUUUGUAAAGAACUUUGAAAAUAUAAAUUGAGCAUCUUAGAGAUACUAUUGUCGCCUACAAAAGAUCUGAUAUAUUCAAGUAAAUAUAAACGACACCUACACAUUCAUGUAUUUGAUUGACAUUUAGUUUUCCGUUGUAUAAUUUCGGCACUCAUUUAUUGUGCGAGAUUACCCAGAGGUAACGUUACAAAAUUUCCUCAACUCUUGACAUUUGAAACCGCGCAAAUGUAUAAAUAUCUUUAAGAAAUACAUUGCAACAAUGCUUUAAAUUGCUAUUUAUAUUAUAUAUUCACGUCUUUAUUGAAUUAGAAUAUCAGUGCGUUGUACAAAAAUAUAAAAACGUCUUGUAUAAAUUCAUUGUUCUAAUUCUAAGCGUAAUUCAAAAUUAAAAAUUAUGGCCAGUUAUUGAAAACAUUUGUCACAGAAAUUUCAAACGGAACAGAUAAAUAUUGGGUCACCGAGCUAAGAUAAAUUAUGCUCAACUUCUAGACUAUUGUAUUUAUACUUACAAGUAUCAUUGAUAUGUGUUAUACUUUAUUGAAUAGUUCAUACAUAGUAUUUAAUUAGCCGAGGCACUAAUUUCUCAUUGAGUAAUAGUUUUUGAAAUGCAACAUUAUAAUUAUCAGUGUGUCAAGCUUUGCUCUACAUCUAUAUAUAAUGAAUGGGAAUCUUUAGCAGGUUUGAUAUCCACCUGACAAAGUGAAUAAUAAAUAAUAAAA
rnacentral:lncRNA from 1 species